AUUGAACGCUGGCGGCAUGCUUUACACAUGCAAGUCGAACGGUAACAGGCCUUCGGGCGCUGACGAGUGGCGAACGGGUGAGUAAUGCAUCGGAACGUGCCCAGUCGUGGGGGAUAACGCAGCGAAAGCUGUGCUAAUACCGCAUACGAUCUGCGGAUGAAAGCGGGGGACCUUCGGGCCUCGCGCGAUUGGAGCGGCCGAUGUCAGAUUAGGUAGUUGGUGGGGUAAAGGCUCACCAAGCCAACGAUCUGUAGCUGGUCUGAGAGGACGACCAGCCACACUGGGACGGAGCCACGGCCCAGACUCCUACGGGAGGCAGCAGUGGGGAAUUUUGGACAAUGGGCGAAAGCCUGAUCCAGAAAUGCCGCGUGCAGGAAGAAGGCCUUCGGGUUGUAAACUGCUUUUGUACGGAGCGAAAAGGCUCCCUCUAAUACAGGGGGCUCAUGACGGUACCGUAAGAAUAAGCACCGGCUAACUACGUGCCAGCCGCCGCCGUAAUAC
rnacentral:rRNA from 1 species